rnacentral:rRNA from 1 species
AAUCAACGCUGGCGGCGUGCCUCAGACAUGCAAGUCGAACGAUUAAACUCACCUUCGGGUGAGAUAUAAAGUGGCGCACGGGUGAGUAACACGUAGGUAAUGUACCUUUGGGUGGGGAAUAACUUAGGGAACUUAAGCUAAUACCGCAUAAUGCAGCGGCUCCUUCGGGAGACAGUUGUUAAAGAUUUAUCGCCUAAAGAGCAGCCUGCGGCAGAUUAGCUAGUUGGAAGGUAACGGCUUACCAAGGCUACGAUCUGUAUCCGACCUGAGAGGGUGGUCGGACACACUGACACUGAAUAACGGGUCAGACUCCUACGGGAGGCAGCAGUCGGGAAUUUUGGGCAAUGGGCGAAAGCCUGACCCAGCAACGCCGCGUGAAGGAUG